CUCAUUAAAUUAGUCCUAACGAAUACACAACUAAUUUUCAUUAAAUCCGUUAAUGAACGAUUCAUCUCAGAGACAUUUUUUAAGGGUUCGUUAGUUAAUGUCAUCUUUAAGUAUUCGUAGGGUGGGGUAUCGCCAAAUCAUUGUAUAGAUUGCAUAUCGAUAAACGUUUGGUGUGGCUACACAUGAAAAAAUGUUAAUAUCAAAUGAUUAAAAACGUUUAUUUAAACACAUUGAAUGCAUAUAAAACAGUAAUACAAGGUAAAUUUCGUACAUUUAUCGAUAGUUUUUAAUAAAAUACAAACCAAAACGGCUAUUUUCGAUCAAAGAAGAUAAAGCAAUCGGACUCUUUUUUUCCUGGUAACUGGAAUCUCUUUGGCAUUUGUCAGUAUCAAAGUCUGUCAUGUUUUAUUAUGACAGUAGUUUGUGUUGUUUACAUUAAAAUUAAUAAAUUAUUUCCUUUGGUUCUUGCGCUUAAACCAAUAAUAAUAAACCUAUGUGCUAUCCGUUAUCACACCCUGGAGUGUCUGCAUAUAAAAUCACGCGACAGAGUGGUCAAUUUCUCCGCCGAUGAAAAGCUUUACUGGCACAACAGUGAUUAAGAAGAGACUAAUGUUGUAAAAUCCAAAAUAAAAGAUGGCAAGUCGGUCCCCAAGAAACAAGCGGCAUGGGAGUUUAAUUGUAAUGCUAAUAUACACAUGCUUGAUGAUAAGAAAGCAGUCACACUUAUAGCUCGGGCUACACAAAGAGGAAAACAAAUUUUAUCUACAAAAAGGUUCACACAGUGUUGCAUAUGCACAGGACCCUAUCAUACAUCACUUGCUCCCAGGGAAAGAGACAGCUUCAUAGGGUGUGCCCAGUGCAGCGCUGUAAAACGGCACUGGCUAAACAACAAACACUUCUAUGGGAUUGGUAGCCAAAUUUAUAAUAAGAUCAACAAAAUCUGUUUCAUACAUUCUACUAUCAUCCGUGAGUGUAAGGAAAGGGUUGUCAGCUGAAUAAAAACUCAGAGUUACGAGGACACUGAAGUGCUAUUAAUGACUUGACUAAUUUCAGCACACAUAAAAUAGGCAAGCUCGGUCUUCUUAAACAAAAUUGUUACAUUAAUUGCUCAAUUUUGUAGAUGAUAUUGAAUUUGACUAUGUACUUUCUGAAUAAAAUUUACUAUAGUGUAUAAUGUAAUCUUUCGCUUGGGUACCAGAGUUCAUACAAAUGUUUGUAUUUGUGACUUUACGUUUUGGAGUUAUUAGAAUGUUUCAGAAGUUAUAUUUUUGUAGAUCUCCAUGUAUUAAUUUGAGUGCUCUGUAAUUCAAUAAAC